rnacentral:rRNA from 1 species
GAAUCAUCGAGUCUUUGAACGCAAGUUGCGCCCGAGGCUUGUCCGAGGGCAUUUCCGCUAGAGCGUCACCGCGCCCCCCCACCGAUCCGCUCCGCGCCGCUCCCGCGGCGCCGCGAGCUCGGGUCGAGUGAAAGUGGCCGUCCCGGCGGGCCUCCUCCUCGCGAGGGCGAGGGCGCCCCAAGGGUGGGCUGAAAUGGAUGCAACGGGGCCGCCGCGGCGGCGCAGCCCGCGAUCGGGUGACGUCCCGGACAGCCGUCCGGGACUCUUUCUAAGUGCGCGGCUGCGUCCCCCAGUCGGUUCCCUGGCUCGUGCAGGUCGAGCGCGCGCCCCCCGCGGCGCGCGCGUCACGCAUCAGACCUCUAAUCGGAAAAGACCACCCGCUGAGUUUAAGCAUAUCA